rnacentral:pre_miRNA from 1 species
UAUUAAAAUUUUUAUCUAUUUUUAUUGUUAAAAAUUAACGUGGCUAUCGAAAUAAUUAGACAAGUAAACAUGGCGUGCCACAUGUACCUCGUGUCGACGUACAUGGGUCAAUUUUUAAUAAAUAAAUAAAUAAAACUUUUAACA